GUCAACAUCAAUUCUCCCUCUUGGUACAACAAAGAGAGAUAUACUGCUUUUUUUUAUAAGUAGUCUUCCUCCUCCACGUUUGACUUUAUUCACACUCUUUUCACUUUGCAGCUCUCCCUAUUCUAAGUUUCUAACAUUCGACCCCUCUAGAAAAGAAGAAGAACAAAUGGGAUGCAUGGAGCUAGGGAAGAAGAAGAAGAAGCUGAUAAGGCGCAUUUUGUGGAGAAUCAGAGCAGAGAUUAAGAAGAUGAGAUCACCAAGAGACAAGAAUAAGACUAGCUUCAACUAUGAUCCUCUUAGCUAUUCUCUUAAUUUCGACUCUCCAUAAACCGAAUAUACGUCUUCUUUUCUCUAUAUCAGCUUGUGCGAUAUUAUAUGUAUGUUUCUAAUUCUAGGUAUGUUGUUUUCUUCUUCUAUGACUAUGUAUUAGGUUUAUAUUAACAUAUUGUUUAAGUUCAUCAUCUUCCCUAAAUCUAAUGUUCCAGUGUAUUAGGUUUCUAUUAACAUAUUGUUUAAGUUCAUCAUCUUCCCUAAAUCUAAUGUUCCAGUGUACUAGGUUUCUGUUAACAUGUUGU
rnacentral:lncRNA from 1 species